rnacentral:rRNA from 1 species
AUUGAACGCUGGCGGCAUGCCUAACACAUGCAAGUCGAACGGGGCAGCAAUGCCUAGUGGCGGACGGGUGAGGAAUACGUAGGAAUCUGCCCUUAAGUGGGGGAUAACCAGGGGAAACCCUGACUAAUACCGCAUGAUCUCUUCGGAGCAAAGAGGGGGACCGCAAGGCCUCUCGCUUCUGGAUGAGCCUACGUCUGAUUAGCUAGUUGGUAGGGUAAAGGCCUACCAAGGCGACGAUCAGUAACUGGUCUGAGAGGUUGAUCAGGCAGACCGGAACGCAGACAGAGUCCUGACUCCUACGGCGGGCAGCAGUGAGUAAUAUUGGACAAUGGGGGCAAGCCUGACCCAGCAAUGCCGCGUGAGUGAAGAAGGCCGUCGGGUUGUAAAGCACUUUAGCCUGGAAAGAAAAAACGUUGGUUAACCCCCAAAGUCUUGACGGUACCAGGAGAAUAAGCACCGGCUAACUCUGUGCCAGCCGCCGCAGUAAUAC